rnacentral:tRNA from 1 species
GCAGGUGUAGUUUAAUGGUAAAAUGUCCGCCUUCCAAGCAGAGGUCAUGGGUUCGAUUCCCAUCACCUGUA